GACGAACGCUGGCGGCGUGCUUAACACAUGCAAGUCGAACGGUGAAGCGCCUUCCUUUUUGGUGGGUGUGGAUGAGUGGCGAACGGGUGAGUAACACGUGAGUAACCUGCCCCCUUCUUCUGGAUAACCGCAUGAAAGUGUGGCUAAUACGGGAUAUUCUGCGCCUGCUGCAUGGUGGGUGUGGGAAAGAUGCGCCUUUGGGUGUUUUUGGUGGGGGAUGGGCUCGCGGCCUAUCAGCUUGUUGGUGGGGUGAUGGCCUACCAAGGCGGUGACGGGUAGCCGGCCUGAGAGGGUGGACGGUCACACUGGGACUGAGACACGGCCCAGACUCCUACGGGAGGCAGCAGUGGGGAAUAUUGCACAAUGGGCGCAA
rnacentral:rRNA from 1 species